UUCUUAAAUUAAUAAAAGCUGUGAACCUCUGGAGUCACACGCGCAUAAAGCCGGAAAAGCCGCGAGAUCAUUUUGUUCAUCCUUCUGUCCCUAGGCAGGAUUUCUCCUACGACUUCGCAGAUGCUAUAUUUACGACUCUCUUACUAGAAAUUUCCACAGACGAAAUCACGCAGUGGGACUCGAGUGCAGAACAAGGUAUGUAUGUUUCUCUACAAAAGAGGAAAAAUACAUGGAUAUAAGAAAUGGAAUGACUAGAUGGGUACCAGGAGUGCUUUCUUCAGGAGAACAUCGGAAGGACUUGGAUUUGGUGAGUACCAACCAACCUGGCAGAUACAAAAAGAAACCAACCUUAACAGAGAGGAAAGGAUUGGCUAUAGAAACAUUAUUCUUGUUCAGGUAGAUCACUGACUGGUUGGAACAAAGGUCAAGUAAAUAGCAAAAGAGAAUGGAUAAAGAUGAAAAGCUGACACUACAUGCAAUUACUACAGGUGUUUAAAUAAGUUGUCAACUUUGGGAAAAGAGAAAUAAAUUUUAAAAAGUAAAGACAUUAACUCUACAGUUGUUCCUGGGGAAAUUUAACAGCUGCAGAGGAGUAGUUAAAAUAAUUGAUGAGAAAGGAAGUUUACUUUUCAGAAAGAAAGAAUUUUUCAUGAGCUCUAGCUAAAACAGAUCAUUCUAAGGAGGUUUUCUAUAUGAAACAAGAACAACAAAUGGAUAUUAAUUUAAACUGAUCUGAUAGUUUUUUCUGUUCUUAUAUGAGGAACUGGCAAUGGUAAUGGCAUUUAAAAGAUGAAAUCAAGCAGAAGAGUAACACCUGAUUUGGGGAAGAGGACAUUUUAUGUAUGGUGGGGGCAACUCCUGGUGUGGAAAUUCCUUUCACUGAUAGAAGCUUGCACCUCCCCUCUUUACUUGUAUAGUCUUCGAGAGUUUUCUGGAGGCAUUGAGAAUUAAGUCAUUUACCUAUAUAGUUAAAACAACUGGGUUGUCUACGUGAAAGGACUUGAACCCCCAUCUUCCUGAUGGCUCUCUAUUCUUUAAUUGUGCUGCCCUUCAGCAUAUUAUAUUUUAUGAUGUUUAUUAAGGAUUAUUAGAAUUCAAGGAAUAAAGAAGAUACAAAAUAAUAACUCGCGUGCCCAUGGCUGAUUAGCCAAUUCAGAACCCAGCGCUUAGCUUACUUACUACAUCAUUGCAAUGGAAGAGAGACAGGGCGAGAGCAUAGAAGAAGGAGAGGUAGACGUUAUGGCCAGUUAAAUACUAAUUGUGAUCUUGCCCAGGUGGAGACUCAGGUGAGUUUAUAGGGAAUUCUGGGAAAUACCAAGGACUUCUGGGGAUUGAAGUCUGGGGUUCAAAAUCUCCAUUUUUACACUUUCAACUUAUAUAUCUAAAAGAAAUAAAUGCUGAAGACUGCUCUAUCUCAAGAAGGGAAGAUGUCUGAAAAGCAUUAAAGAUCAUAAACAGGACUAAAAAAUGCAAUUAAAAUAUGUCAGCAAGUGUACCUACUUUCUUAUGCCUAUAAAAUAUUUAUGAAAAUGAGCUAAAUAUCAGUUGUCUUUGAGUGAAAGCAUGGAAAAAGAAAAGUAGGAUUUUGUAGGUGGUUUUCCACAGUAGACUAUAGUCUACACACUGAUCAGGAGAGGUAUAAAUAAUCUGUAAUUUUACUGUAUUUGAUGUUUAUUGAUUUUUAAAAAGCUUUUGAUUCAAAAGAACAAAACACCUUGAAAGUUUUCUUUUCUUUUCUUUUUACUACAUUAAAAUUUUACAUGACCCAAUGACAAAAGUAACUUUGGAAAUAUCUUUGUUCAAUACUUGACUAAGUAUUGGUAUCAGACAAAAAAAUAAAA